AUGGACUUAGGGCUUAUGCUGGUUUUCUCUGUCCUUAUUUUAAAAGGUGUCCAGUGUGAGGUGCAAUUGCUGGAGUCUGGGGGAGGCUUAGUGCAGCCUGGGAAGACCCUGAAACUCUUCUGUGCAGCCUCUGGAUUCACCUUUAGUAGUUACACAAUGAACUGGGUCCGUCAGGCUCCAGGGAAAGGGCUGGAGUGGGUCGCAUACAUUAGUGAGAGUGGUAGCUACAUCUACUACGCCGACGCUGUGAAGGGCCGGUUCACAAUCUCCAGAGAUAAUGCCAAGAACACUCUGUUCCUGGAAAUGAGCAGUCUGAAGUCUGAGGACACAGCCAUGUAUUACUGUGCAAGAGACACAGUGAGGGACUACUGGAUGAGCUGGGUCCGCCAGGCUCCAGGGAAGGGGCUGGAGUGGGUCGCAUAUAUUAAUACUGGUGGUGGUAGUACCUCCUAUGCGGACUCUGUGAAGGGUCGGUUCACAAUCUCCAGAGACAAUGCCAAGAACACUCUGUACCUGGAAAUGAACAGUCUGAGAUCUGAGGACACAGCCACGUAUUACUGUACAAGAUACACAGUGAGUGAAUGCUACUGA